rnacentral:rRNA from 1 species
CAGCAGCCACGGUAAUACGAAGGGGGCUAGCGCUGUUCGGAUUUACUGGGCGUAAAGGGUGCGUAGGCGGACUGAUAAGUCAGGGGUGAAAUCCCAAGGCUCAACCUUGGAACUGCCUUUGAUACUGUUAGUCUUGAGUUCGAGAGAGGUGAGUGGAACUGCGAGUGUAGAGGUGAAAUUCGUAGAUAUUCGCAAGAACACCAGUGGCGAAGGCGGCUCACUGGCUCGAAACUGACGCUGAGGCACGAAAGCGUGGGGAGCAAACAGGAUUAGAUACCCCAGUAGUCCCUGUCUCUUAUAC